AUGUCGUUAAGCGGCGGCCCCGGGCCCGGCCCUGCGGACGCCCCGCGGCUGCGGCCUCGCGCCGCCCGGAUGGCGCGACGACCCGAGCUGCUGUGCGGGGCCGCCAUCGUGCUGGGCUGCGCCUUCCUUGUCGCCCUCAAAGUCACCUGCAGCCGAGCGAAAGAUGUAACAAUGCCAGCAAAGCUUCCAGUGAAUUUUUUCUCCACAAGAUCUCCCGUCAUCGAUCUUUUUCGGGGACAGUUAGACUAUGCAGAUCACCUUCGUCAGGACUCAGAGAUUGCAUUGUAUUUCUUCUACGCGCCGUGGUGUGGCCAGUCGGUCGCCGUGAGAGAAGAAAUAGAACAUGUGGCCAGCAGAUUGUCAGACCAGGUGCUGUUUGUUGCUAUUAAUUGCUGGUGGAACCAGGGGAAAUGUAGGAAGCAGAAGCAUUUCUUUUAUUUUCCUGUCAUACACUUAUACCACCGCAGUUUUGGACCAAUUGAAUACAAAGGCCCAAUGAGUGCUGUUUAUAUUGAAAAGUUUGUUCGCCGGGUGAUGACACCACUACUCUACAUCUCGUCUCGAUCAAAAUUACUAGAUUUCCUCUCAAAUUAUGAGCCUGGAGUUGUGGGAUAUUUUGAGUUCAACGCUUCACCGCAGCCUCCCGGUUAUUUAACCUUCUUUACGUCAGCUUUACAUUCAUUAAAGAAAGAUUACCUGGGAACAGUGCGCUUCGGAGUGGUCACAGAUAAGCUUGUUGCGGAGGAGAUCUCGUUGGUGCAUUCGGGCAGUGUGUAUUUGCACAGACACAUCAACACAUCUCUUAUCUAUCCAAAUGACACCAUGAACUAUACAGCUGAGAAUGUGUGCAAGUGGGCUCUGGAAAAUCGAGAGCUGCUCAUCCGCUGGCUGAGACCACAUGGGGGAAAAAGCCUUCUUCUGAGCAACGAGCUGAAGAAAGGGCCGGCGCUUCUCGUGUUUGUACCUUACGACCCCUUGGCAGAAAUUCAGCCUCUGUUAGACGAAAUUACCAAAGUGGCCUUGGAAUACCACAGCUGUAACAAAAGCCAGGGAGCUGAACCAGAGCUUCAGCACUUAGGGAACAGUGAUUCACCAGCUUCUGAUUCCUCUGAUCCAGAUGCACAUAUGAAAUUGGCAGACACGUUUUUGAUAACCAAGUACCCAUGCUGUAACACAGUGGUGCUUCCGCAGUGGCACUCGAUAUCCAGAACUCACAACGUGUGUGAGCUGUGCAUUAAUCAGACGCUUGGUGUCAAACCAGAUAAAGUCAGUGUGCCACGCUGUAACUUCUUUGAGAUAGAAACAGCUUUGGACUCUUUCUACCUCCAGGAACACACCUUUUUUCAAGUUGUUUCGAGUAGCAUUGAAUGCAGCAAUUUCCUAAGUUUCUACAGUCCCUUUAGCUAUUACACUGCAUGUUGCAGAACGGUCGAUAGACAUUUUUUAAGUUUCAUUAGUUCUGAGAAGACCAUCUUUCAGACCCCUAAAGUUGCAUUUUCUUCCCAUGGGAAGAAAGAUAAUGCUGACAUCCAGAAUUCUAUUCCUCAUAUUGAGGAUAGGAACUGCUUUAUUCCUGACCUUCAUAUUGCUGGCACUAACAUUACUGGUCUGAGCUGCAGGACCAACAAAACCUUGAACCUCUAUCUGCUGGAUUCAAAUCUUUUUUGGAUAUAUGCAGAGAGACUAGGAGCAUCAAGAUCGACUCAUCGUAAGGAAUUUGCUGCCAUUGUUGACCUGAAAGAAGAGCUGCAUUAUGUCCUUGAUCAGAAUCAGUCGCUUACAGGAUCUACCCUGGAGAGCUUCAUAAAGAAUUUCAGCAUUCUCUACAGUCCCUUGAAGAGGCAUCUCGUGGAUGGCACCUCAGUCCGUGUCCCUGCAGAGCGCGUCGUGGCUGAAGUGACCACCAGCACCUUCCAUCACAUUGUGUUUUCAAGUGAAAAGAAUGUCUUGCUGCUCUAUUAUGCACAGUGGUGUGGAUUCUGUGCUUCUCUUAAUCAUAUCUUUAUUCAGCUGGCUCGGCUUUUGCCUCCAGAUCAUUUCACUGUGGCAAGAAUUGAUACCACUCAAAAUGAUCUUCCUUGGGAAUUUAUGACAGAUCGGCUCCCGACCAUUUUAUUUUUUCCUCAGCAGAGGAAGGAUCAAAGUGUGAAGUUCCCAGAAGACUUUCCAGUUAGCCUUCCUCAUCUUCUUAAAUUUAUUUUACAUCACUCGAGUCUUUCUUCAUCAGAGCCCUGCACCAAAGAAUGCCUCCAUAAAGAGACAGUUUUACAGCAAGGACACAUCUCCCACUUGGAGCAAGAAAUUCAGAAGUUAAGGUCAGAAAUCAGGGCCCUGCAUCAAGCCCAUGAAUCCCUUGAGGCACAGCUUUCUGAAGCUAGAAGAGAAGAACAUCGACUACAGCAGCAGAAGCACACACUGGAAAAGCAGCACAAGACUCUGCAGCUCCACAGCCAGCAGUUGCAGGCAACGUACGAUCAGAAGAAUCGGGAAUUGCUAGAAAUGGCCGAAAAGCUUCAGGAGCUGGCUGACGCAUCAGAAAACCUCCUUAAGGAGAAUACAUUACUGAGAAUCCUGGUGGCAUCGAGGGAAGGAAAGCUACAGAGCAAAGACGAACCUAAAGAAGCCCUUCAGUCAGAGCAAACAGUGGCUGAUGACAGCAGUGUAUUGGUUUCAGCAGCUCUCAGCACAGAGGAGAAAAGGAUUGAUCGUGUUGAUGCCGUAGCGACAGAACAGAGUAGUGAAAACAGGACAGAAUGAUUGCUUGCACAAAGUCAUGAUGCCGUACUGACAUGCAGAAACACAGAAGAGAAAAAGCCUGCUCUACUGCCACUUCACACCGCUGGAAACCUUCUGGACCACCCCGAGGGUUUGGUGACCAUCAUUAGUUCCCAGGGUCCUUUAGCAGAGUACUGCACCAGGAGAAAGGGCUCUUUGGUUUCUCCUUCGCCCACGAUGCUUUCUUCAUCUUCAGACUGGCUGAUCCUCUGCAGCCGCAGGUAACACCAGCAGCCCAGAAUCAAGGCGCCAAGAGCUGCGAUAGCAAUCAGAAUAACGAUAACUGUCACCACUCCCGUGGUGGGGCUGUGAUCCAUAAUAGACAUGGUCAGUAUUUCAGAUUGUCCAGCUUCUUGAAGACUCUUCUGUCUGCACCGUCAGGCUUCACUGUAUUUUCAGACUCCUGCAGGGGAAAAACAGACAUUUAAUGAGGCUGUGCAGUUCCGUAUCUUCAGGAAUAUCUGCGGUUGGCGCUCUCUGUGUGACUCACACAAGUCUCCUGCACGAGAAUCUUGAAGUGCUGAAUGUGCCCAUAUUCGUUUUAAGGUAUUUCUUCACAAACUGCCUUUGAAUUUAGAAGUUUUCAUAGCAAA